rnacentral:lncRNA from 1 species
GUUCUUCCUUGGGCGUCCAACACCCCGCUUCAGUGGAGAUGCAGGCGGCGGAGCAACGGGAGAGGCAGCAGCAGCAGCAUUCUUGCGCGGCCUCCCAGGUCCCCGCUUAACUCCCAGGCUCAACGGCGUAGCAGUGGCAUUCUUGCGCGGUCUCCCAGGUCCCCGCUUCGCUCCCAGUCUCAACGGGGUAGCAGCAGCAUUCUUGCGCGGCCUCCCAGGUCCCCGCUUCACUCCCAGUCUCAACGGGGUAGCAGCAGCAUUCUUGCGCGGCCUCCCAGGUCCCCGCUUCACUCUCAGGCUCAACGCCGUAGCAGCAGCAGCAGCAGAGGAGGUGGAGGAAGCCACAGGGAGAGGGUUCUUCCGGGGUCGCCCGCGCCCAGGCUUCGCCUCAAGCACAGGAACCGGAAACAGGGC